AUUGAACGCUGGCGGCAGGCUUAACACAUGCAAGUCGAACGGUAACAGGAAACAGCUUGCUGUUUCGCUGACGAGUGGCGGACGGGUGAGUAAUGUCUGGGAAACUGCCUGAUGGAGGGGGAUAACUACUAGAAACGGUAGCUAACACCGCAUAACGUCGCAAGACCAAAGAGGGGGACCCUCGGGCCUCUUGCCAUCGGAUGUGCCCAGAUGGGAUUAGCUUGUUGGUGGGGUAACGGCUCACCAUGGCGACGAUCCCUCGCUGGUCUGAGAGGAUGACCAGCCACACUGGAACUGAGACACGGUCCAGACUCCUACGGGAGGCAGCAGUGGGGAAUAUUGCACAAUGGGCGCAAGCCUGAUGCAGCCAUGCCGCGUGUAUGAAGAAGGCCUUCGGGUUGUAAAGUACUUUCAGCGGGGAGGAAGGGAGUAAAGUUAAUACCUUUGCUCAUUGACGUUACCCGCAGAAGAAGCACCGGCUAACUCCGUG
rnacentral:rRNA from 1 species